rnacentral:rRNA from 1 species
GACGUAGGGCGCAAGCGUUGUCCGGAUUUAUUGGGCGUAAAGAGCUCGUAGGCGGCCUGUCGCGUCGACUGUGAAAACCCGCAGCUUAACUGCGGGACUGCAGUCGAUACGGGCAGGCUAGAGUUCGGUAGGGGAGACUGGAAUUCCUGGUGUAGCGGUGAAAUGCGCAGAUAUCAGGAGGAACACCGGUGGCGAAGGCGGGUCUCUGGGCCUUACCUGACGCUCAGGUGCGAAAGCUAGGGGAGCGAACAGG